UAUGACCAUAUCAUAUUGAAACACUGGUUUCCGUAUGAUCACUGAAGUUAAGUAAUGUUGACCCUGGUCAGUACCUAGAUGGGUGACCAUGUGGGAAUACCAGGUGCUGUAAG